rnacentral:rRNA from 1 species
AUUGAACGCUGGCGGCAUGCCUUACACAUGCAAGUCGAACGGCAGCACGGGUGCUUGCACCUGGUGGCGAGUGGCGAACGGGUGAGUAAUACAUCGGAACAUGUCCUGUAGUGGGGGAUAGCCCGGCGAAAGCCGGAUUAAUACCGCAUACGAUCUACGGAUGAAAGCGGGGGACCUUCGGGCCUCGCGCUAUAGGGUUGGCCGAUGGCUGAUUAGCUAGUUGGUGGGGUAAAGGCCUACCAAGGCGACGAUCAGUAGCUGGUCUGAGAGGACGACCAGCCACACUGGGACUGAGACACGGCCCAGACUCCUACGGGAGGCAGCAGUGGGGAAUUUUGGACAAUGGACGAAAGCCUGAUCCAGCAAUGCCGCGUGUGUGAAGAAGGCCUUCGGGUUGUAAAGCACUUUUGUCCGGAAAGAAAUCCUUGGCCCUAAUACGGUCGGGGGAUGACGGUACCGGAAGAAUAAGCACCGGCUAACUACGUG